rnacentral:rRNA from 1 species
UACGUAGGGGGCAAGCGUUGUCCGGAAUCAUUGGGCGUAAAGCGCGCGUAGGCGGCCCGGUAAGUCCGUUGUGAAAGUCAAAGGCUCAACCUUUGAAUGCCGAUGGAUACUGCCGGGCUAGAGUCCGGAAGAGGCGAGUGGAAUUCCUGGUGUAGCGGUGGAAUGCGCAGAUAUCAGGAGGAACACCAAUAGCGAAGGCAGCUCGCUGGGACGGUACUGACGCUGAGGCGCGAAAGCGUGGGGAGCAAACAGG